UGCGCUCUCUGCCGACGGCGGAGUUGCAUUGGAGCACUCUUCGUGUUAUUGAAGCUCCGUCCCGACGCGUCGCCGGAGCUGGAGUGAAUCAUGUCAAAAGGUCAUUCGUCGGGGUUGCAAUGGAGCCGCCGGAGUUGCAGUGAAGCGCGUCGAAGCUCCAGUGAAGCACGCCGGAGGUCGUCAAAACUUCAACGGGGUUGCAAUGAAGCGCCACCGGCUCUGUCACAGCGCUGCAACCAUGGAGUCGUGUGUGUGGUGCUGUCAUGGAACGUACAAUCAUGUGGCUGGGAACAUCAGAUCGUACGGCUGCCAAUCCAACUGAUUUCUCAGGAAAUCGGCCGGUUAAUUUGUAACAGCGCCCUAUACUUUCUUUGUAAAGAGAUCUAAGAGUGUUUAGAUCAUUAACUAGUUUGGUAUUGUGAAAAACGGAAAGCAAUAACCAAUCAAAAGAUAAA
rnacentral:lncRNA from 1 species